AUGAACGCUGGCGGCGUGCCUAAUACAUGCAAGUCGAGCGAACGGACGAGAAGCUUGCUUCUCUGAUGUUAGCGGCGGACGGGUGAGUAACACGUGGAUAACCUACCUAUAAGACUGGGAUAACUUCGGGAAACCGUAGCUAAUACCGGAUAAUAUUUUGAACCGCAUGGUUCAAAAGUGAAAGACGGUCUUGCUGUCACUUAUAGAUGGAUCCGCGCUGCAUUAGCUAGUUGGUAAGGUAACGGCUUACCAAGGCAACGAUGCAUAGCCGACCUGAGAGGGUGAUCGGCCACACUGGAACUGAGACACGGUCCAGACUCCUACGGGAGGCAGCAGUAGGGAAUCUUCCGCAAUGGGCGAAAGCCUGACGGAGCAACGCCGCGUGAGUGAUGAAGGUCUUCGGAUCGUAAAACUCUGUUAUUAGGGAAGAACAUAUGUGUAAGUAACUGUGCACACCUUGACGGUACCUAAUCAGAAAGCCACGGCUAACUACGUG
rnacentral:rRNA from 1 species